rnacentral:rRNA from 1 species
UACGUAGGUGGCAAGCGUUGUUCGGAAUUAUUGGGCGUAAAGCGCGCGUAGGUGGUUUCUUAAGUCGGAUGUGAAAGCCCACGGCUCAACCGUGGAGGGUCAUUGGAAACUGGGGAACUUGAGUGCAGGAGAGAAGAGUGGAAUUCCACGUGUAGCGGUGAAAUGCGUAGAGAUGUGGAGGAACACCGAUGGCGAAGGCAGCCCCCUGGGCUGACACUGACGCUCAGGCACGAAAGCGUGGGGAGCAAACAGG